AGCUGCACCUCAGCAGAUGCUGUCCACACCCAGGAAGGUCGCAGUUGGCCUGGAGGUGACAUUCUCCAGAUUCACAGUAAACAGGAAGUGACGCCACAGUCUUAGUGGACUGCCUGGGGCCUGGGUGGGAGAAGCCAGACCUGGAGCCUGGGACUUACCCCUCCCUUCCAGCAGGAAGAACAUGCCAGAGAAGACCAAGGCUGGGGGAGAGGAAGCCAUUCUGAAGGUUAAAACCUACAAAUCUGCGACUAUACGGAAGGUUCUGCAGGUCGGGAUGGGCUCUGAGUACCACGACUACAGCAGCAGGGAGGGGACAUGUGCUCCCCGGGAGCCGUGUCAGGGCCAGCGUGGGCCAAACUUGGGUUCUUCAGCUGGGGCUUCAGGAGCCACCGGAAGUUCCAGCAGGUGAGCUACAAAUUCAGCCUGAGCAAACCUGACAGGUGAACCAGAGGCACUAGGAAAAGACCAGAUUCUUACACCAGAGUCGUUGAAAGACAGAAUCCCCCAGGUGGGAUGAUGCUGAAAACUAGAGAGAUCUUCUGAGAGGGGGGUCACCCUGUGAGUGACCUCAAGGACAGGCAUCAGGUCCUAAGCACUGACCGUGGCCAAUCCUGGCUCUGUCACUUUAGGAAAUUCCACUGCUCUGAGGUCAUUUCUUCGUCUUCUACCUGAGCAGCUGAGAUGCUCUUGAAGGCCCUUCUCAGCCCACAGGCUGUGGGUGGGUGUUUUGGAUGCCAACACAGAUUCCAAAUGCCAGGCAAAAGCCCACCCUUCAUCUCAGCAUCACUUGGCUAGCCCCUACUGUCCUUGAAUUAAAUCUAAACCUUGAACUUUCUUGGGGCCGGACAGCGGGCCGCUCAGGCACCAGUUAAUGUCCACGGGUCUCCCUGACGGAUGCAACCUGAGCAUGGAUGCUGGGCGCAGGAGAACACUGCAAAGGUCUGAGAAGGAGACUGGAAACAGAAGCUUGAGGGCUGAAACAGAGUCCAGGCAACCUCCCAGACGGGGCAGGUCCUGCCAGGGCACCGGGUGCUCUCUGCCCUCUGGUUCACAUCACUUUCAAAUAUCAAAAGCAGCCCUCAGCGGCCCCGGGAGAGGAGGGAGAGCGCAUUCCACCUCCGUUCUCGACACUUCCCAGAUGGCUCCAGCCGUGGCAGCUCUCUCUCUUGUGACUUUUCCCCAAAAAGAAAUCAUCUCGUCUGUGGCCUCGGCCUGUGUUUUGUUGUUGCUCACAUUUUCCUUGAAGAAGUGUGAGACAGCUAAAAGCAUUCCUUUGGAGAUGCUAUCUAACCAGCCAGGGACUUCCAGAGACCCAGGCUGAGGAGCAGGUGUGUGUGUGUGUGUGUGUGUGUGUGUUUGCGGGCGCGCGCGCGCACGGGUGUGGGGAGGCUGGGCCUGGCCCCCCUGGAGCAGGGCUGUCAGUGCAGGGUAACAGUGGGCUUUUUAUGGCCUCCGUCCUGAACGCGUGGCAGGGCUGCAUUUUUAAUUAUGAUGAUGUUAAAUGGAUUUAAUGGGUGACAUUCUCCUGAUUCACAGAGCAUUUUUAUAACAUUUAUUAAAAAAGGCCAAAGUUUAUUUUACAAUCAGUAAUAAAGAGGAACACAAAAACGCAGCCAUUGGCACAA